GCGUGUCUCUUGUCUAUUAGAUUUUAAUGUCGCCACAUUGGUAUGUCUUCAUGUGUACGUCCUCUGCUGAGCCUAAGCUCUGUGCACUGACGGGUUUAACCUGCGAGGCGCUCAUGCUAUCACAGUUAGCCUGUAUAGCCGCAGCAGGCCUCUGCCACGUGUUGCUUAGCGCGGGUUGAAAUCGGCUCAGCUCGGCCUAGUCUCAUCGCAGUGUGAUGAAACAAAUGUUGGUAGGGACAUCUGACUACUGUGAGGAAACGCCAACUUUCUGACCGCGUGGGACACCGAGACACAAAGAGGCCGAUUUCACUGCAGCGCUCCUGCGCUGCCAGACUUUAGGACUCGUCAUCAACGUCAAAUCAAAAUGAAGCUGAACAGCACGUGGCUCCAACAUGGGUCUCCAGGUGUUUGGACCCGUCCAAUGCAUCCCUGGUGGGAGUUUGAUUCAGAGGUGUGAAGAAGCUGUGGAUGAUGAGGUGUGAUCACACUGACUGAAUUCACUCUUCAUUCACGGCAUUCAAUGAGAUUGUCUCGUGUUUGCGCAUCUGGUCUGAACGCUCAUGGAUGAGCUACUGAAACCUGUCUGGCUACAGAAUGCUAUGACAUGUGACUGCUCUGCCGACUACAUUUCCAGCCUUGUUGAUCUAAUGGGAUCCUGGGCUGUUUGGUGCACAGUCUCAAACUCAAUGAUCUGAUCUGAGGUCCGGCUGAACGGCCAAGACUAGGUGGACUUGAGGAAAUGGCUGGAUCUCUUGGGCUGACCUUGAAAGCAGAUCUAAUCUACUCUGGCCCUCAGCCAGCCUGAUGUUUUACUCUGAAGAUUCUGUGGUAUUUUGGAAACUGGAGUUUGACCUGAAGACAAUUGAAAAUCUAGAUAUAUUUUCGCAAUAAAAAAUGUUGCAAUAAACUCAAA